CGGUUAAAAAGCUCGUAGUUGGAUCUCGGCGGGCAGGGGGUGGUUCGCUCUUCAGCGCUACUGCCCCGCUUUGCCCGUGUGAUUGGCGGAGGUUUCGGGGUGCUCUUCGUUGAGUGACUCGGAGCGCCGUCAGGUUUACUUUGAAAAAAUUAGAGUGCUCAAAGCAGGCUUUUCACGCUUGAAUAUUCGUGCAUGGAAUAAUGGAAUAGGAACUCGUUUCUAUUUUGUUGGUUUUCGGAAAUCGAGUUAAUGAUUAACAGGGACAAUUGGGGGCAUUAGUAUUCAGACGACAGAGGUGAAAUUCCUGGACCGUCUGAAGACUGACUACUGCGAAAGCAUUUGCCAAGAGUGUUUUCAUUAAUCAAGAACGAAAGUUAGAGGUUCGAAGGCGAUCAGAUACCGCCCUAGUUCUAACCAUAAACGAUGCCAGCUAGCGAUCUGCCGAGUUUUUUUUGUAGGCUCCGCAGGAAGCUUUCGGGAAACCAAAGCUUUUGGGUUCCGGGGGAAGUAUGGUUGCAAAGCUGAAACUUAAAGGAAUUGACGGAAGGGCACCACCAGGAGUGGAGCCUGCGGCUUAAUUUGACUCAACACGGGAAAUCUCACCAGGCCCGGACACUGGAAGGAUUGACAGAUUGAGAGCUCUUUCUCGAUUCGGUGGGUGGUGGUGCAUGGCCG
rnacentral:rRNA from 1 species